rnacentral:lncRNA from 1 species
UUAUUGCGGACAUCUUUUCCUUUUUUUUUUUUUUUUGUAAAUUAAUAUUAGACUUUAUUUAAUACAAAAUCUCGCUCGAAAUGCAUACAUAAGCAACUCAGUGAACCCACUUUAAGAAAAGCGUUGUAAAUCGUAAACAUUUUGGGCAUGUAUAAAAAAAGAAACCGAAAAUCAAGAUGGUAACCCUGACAAUUUGAAUAAUGUUUUGGAGGAAAGCAGGUUAUCUGUCAUUACGUUUAGUUAUAUAAGCUACAAUCAGCAACUAUGAUAUAGAGGAAAUACGCACAAGCCCUAUUCUGUAUCAAGUAAGUUACUCUCCUUCAUUCAUUCAGACAAACUUUGUUUUAAUCAUAUAAAUUUGCUUUAUUGAUAUAGAAGAAAUUUCCAAAAAAAUAUCAUUGUUACUCUAUGUUUUUCAUGAGCACAUACACACACACUUGUGGUUAAACUUUAUACUUGGAUGCUAUUUUCCUGAAUUAUUCAAGAAGACUAAUGAUAAUAGCUUUAGAAAACGAGAAAACACUGUUCAGGUUGGCAAGAACAAAAAAAUCGGCACUAAAAAAUGCUUAUGAUUUAUAACUCUAUGCGUGACUUCUUGAUCUAAAAUAAAACUAUGUAGCAACGGGCGUGUGUAGGUAAAGGCACUCAGCACGUCAUAAUAAAAAAUAAAAGGAAAUGGGAGAACAUUGUAUAUUUAAGGCUGGAAAUCCUGAGCACUUUUUAAAGUUGAUAACCUGGACAACGUUUUUUUUAUUUUCUCAAGUGGUUAUCAUUAUUCUUUCUUUCCUGAAGGCCAAAAACUUUCACCUCAAAGUGUGAACCAGUUCUAGGACAAUUGCCGAGAGGUGAGCUCAAAUUUAUAUAGGGCAACUUCUAGCCGGAUAAUUUCCUGGAUUCAAAGCAAAGUCACAAAGUCUUUGGAUGAAGAUUAAACCUGCUCUUGCGAGCUGAUGCAGUUCCCUCUUUUUUCCAUUGUCAAAAGUGAAGCAGGGAGACUCAGCUCGUCAUGAUAGAGCAGAAAAACGACCUAGUAUAAUGGAAAUAGACACCAACUUUUUUAAUAUUCAACCAAAAGAAAGUCAAGCUGAAGUAAGAGAGUUCUCAUGUAUAACUAUCUUUUAUUAGGCAUAUGUCUAUGAUAUUCAAAUGGGCGAUCUUUCCAUGGACGUGGAGACAGUGAUGUUAUGACUGAAAAUGAGGAUCAAGCAUGUUCUGAUAAUACUCAAGACAAAGUACUUUCACAACAUCAAAAAACGUUCUAACCUUCAUUAAUGGAGAAAAUCUCAUUUGACCCGUUUUUCCUAUUGAAAAUUUUGUUGACGACUCUUCUGCAUUUUCUUACUAUUCAAGGAUGAAAGACAUUAAUUAUUUUAACUGUCGAUCAUUUGAACUAUAAAAAUUAUGAUUUAACGCAAAACGAUGAGCUUUUCUUGACCUUUAUGAAGCUCUGUAAGAUGAUUUGGAGCUUUCAAUUUUCUUCAAAAUACAUCGAACUUCAGUUAGGAAAGUUUUGAAGAUGUGGCUCAAUUUUUUAUAUUAGAGUAACAGUUAAUACACCAACGCCAACACAAAUUGCAUCUAUGCGAAUUCAUGUUGAGUGAGUCACAGGACUCACUAAGACAUAUAAAAUUAUCCAAGGAGAAUUUGAUUGCAAUAAAACUAUAAAAGGAGGACACAUUUUAUAAGUCUGCUUCGUUUUAUGUAACUUUUUGGUAUAAUAUAGUAAAUAUUAGUUCCUAGACAGUCUACAAGAAAAUCAGAGUUUACCUAUGGGUCUGGGAUACGUACUGAACUGUUCUGAGAGAAGAAUUCACAAUCUUAUUAAGAUCACUUACUCCUUAAAAAUAGAUAAUAGAAUAGUAUUUUUCCUUACUUAUAGGAAGCUGCCCUUGAAUCUGGUAAAAGUAAUUAUGACUCUUUUUCAUCUUUCUUUCUCCAUUUUGAAUUUCUAAGAAUGAACAUUUGGGGCCUGGACUAUUUUUUUAAUUUCGUUCUGAAAUGGUUAAUUUAAUUUUAAGAAUAGCUUUUUUACUGACACAUCCAUCAGGAGAGCCAGCCAAAAAGUUAUUUUCAGGAUUAGUCAACAACCCACAUUCCUUAACUUUGUUAUCGGUAGCAUAAUAAUAUUUUAUUUUGGCUGAAAAUUCAUGAGUAGACUUAGAAUUUGUGAGAUAUCGCUGUAUUACUCAAAAAUUGAUCGUUUUACCUUUUUUUUGUACUUUUGUUUUUCAACACUGGUAUAAAAUAAAUAAAUAAAGUUUGGGUUCUAGUUAGAUUAGACUACAGCUUUUGAUGAUAUUUUUCGAAGGAAAAUCUACCUGCCAAAACCCACCUUCAUCGGUUAUAUUUUGUCCUGUUUUUCUUUGAUUUAUACCUAUAUUAUUAUUUUAAGAUCUGAAUAAAACAAUAUUUUUA